rnacentral:rRNA from 1 species
UACGUAGGUGGCAAGCGUUGUCCGGAUUUACUGGGCGUAAAGAGCGCGCAGGCGGUCGUUCAAGUCGCGUGUGAAAGCCCCCGGCUCAACUGGGGAGGGUCACGCGAUACUGAUCGACUCGAAGGCAGGAGAGGGUAGUGGAAUUCCCGGUGUAGUGGUGAAAUGCGUAGAUAUCGGGAGGAACACCAGUGGCGAAGGCAGGUCUCUGGGCUGACACUGACGCUCAUGCACGAAAGCGUGGGGAGCAAACAGG